UAAUCAGAGGCCCAGUCACCAAUCCAAAACUUUAGACCCUCCCUAUAAUUAGAGGCCCAGUCACCUAAUCCAAAACCCUACACCCUCCCUUUAAUCAGAGGUCCAGUGCACACGACUUCCUUAUAACUGAGGCUCAGUGCCUACAAUCCAAAACCCUAAACCUCCCAAUAAAACUUGAAUUCAUUCUAAAUUAUUCAUUUUGUAAUAUAACUCUGAAAACCCUAAAUGUCAGCCCCUAAAUGCAAUGUCUGACAUAGUGACGACUUUAGCAAGCUGUGUUAUCAUUUUGGAGAUUUGGAUAACUUUCAUGCUCAGUUAACUCUUGUUCUAGAGGUUGAAAGAGUGGAUGUUUUCGUGUUCUCUGCAAGGAGAUGCAUAGGCAAAAUGAACACAAGCUACUUGAUGACGUGAUAGCCCAGCAGACAUGAUAGCUCGUAAAACUAGAGAGACUUACCUAGACCUCACUAUUAAACAUCGGUUUCUUGAGGUAAGAUUACAGGUUCCGCUUCUACUUCCGAGAUUGAUUUUCGAAGCCUGGCUUGUGAGCAUCUAACUAGUCGCAGUCCAGAGACUUCUCUAUCCCUGUCUUUAUUUUCUUCCAUUCAGACAGUUGUUUUAGCAUUUGAGACUUGUAUUUCCUAGACAUUUACUUAGUUGAUCUUGUACUGGUCAGACCAGUUCCUUGGGAGUGUAGUUAUAUUCCACACUUAUGAUUUUAUGUGAUUUAAUCUUUUACUUA